UUUCCGUAGGUGAACCUGCGGAAGGAUCAUUAAAAAUGAAGCCGGGAAACCGGUCCUUCUCACCCUUGAUAAUCUCAAUUUGUUGCUUUGGUGGGCCGCGCAAGCACCGGCUUCGGCUGGAUCGUGCCCGCCAGAGGACCACAACUCUGUAUUAUAUGUCGUCUGAGUACUAUAAAAUAGUUAAAACUUUCAACAACGGAUCUCUUGGUUCUG
rnacentral:misc_RNA from 1 species